GACGAACGCUGGCGGCGUGCUUAACACAUGCAAGUCGAACGUGAUUUUUGUGGAAAUUCUUUCGGGAAUGGAAAUGAAAUGAAAGUGGCGAACGGGUGAGUAACACGUGAGCAACCUACCUUACACAGGGGGAUAGCCGUUGGAAACGACGAUUAAUACCGCAUGAGACCACAGAAUCGCAUGAUAUAGGGGUCAAAGAUUUAUCGGUGUAAGAAGGGCUCGCGUCUGAUUAGCUAGUUGGAAGGGUAAAGGCCUACCAAGGCGACGAUCAGUAGCCGGUCUGAGAGGAUGAACGGCCACAUUGGAACUGAGACACGGUCCAAACUCCUACGGGAGGCAGCAGUGGGGAAUAUUGCACAAUGGGGGGAACCCUGAUGCAGCGACGCCGCGUGAGCGAAGAAGGUUUUCGAAUCGUAAAGCUCUGUCCUAUGAGAAGAUAAUGACGGUAUCAUAGGAGGAAACCCCGGCGAAAUACGU
rnacentral:rRNA from 1 species